UCUGGCGUCUUCGACGUCCGAGUUGUAAUCUCGAGAAGUGUUUUCCGUGAUAGACCGCAUACAAGUCUCUUGGAACAGAGCGUCAUAGUGGUGAGAACCCAGUACACGAUGCGGAUGCCUAUUACUUUGUGAUACACUUUCGAAGAGUCGAGUUGUUUGGGAAUGCAGCUCAAAUUGGGUGGUAAAUUCCAUCUAAAGCUAAAUAUUGGCGAGAGACCGAUAGCGAACAAGUACCGUGAGGGAAAGAUGAAAAGCACUUUGGAAAGAGAGUUAACAGUACGUGAAAUUGUUGGAAGGGAAACACAUGCAGUGAUACUUGCUAUUCGGGGCAACUCGAUUGGCAGGCCCGCAUCAGUUUUUCGGGGCGGAAAAGCAUAGAGAGAAGGUAGCAGUUUCGGCUGUGUUAUAGCUCUUUAUUGGAUUCGCCCUGGGGGACUGAGGAACGCAGCGUGCUUUUUGCAUGAGCUUCGGCUUAUCCACGCUUAGGAUGCGGGUUUAUGGCUGUAUAUGACCC
rnacentral:rRNA from 1 species